GAGCUAUCUCCCAAGCUCCCCAGCCAGUCAUUUCUGUAGUACUCGGCUUCAAGCCAGUGUUUUGGAGGUCUCCUGCCUAUUGCCUGGAAAGGUUCAGAGAAGUGGGGCUGGUGUGAUGGUGGCUGGGGGAGGGGUUUCCCCUCAGAGGGGGCAGAGGGCUGGCUCUGUCUCACAUCUUCCCUUGGUACCUGGCAUGAACUUCUCUCUGUGUGCCUGGUGUGAGCCUGGGGUUAGGGAAGAACGAAUGGGGUGGAGAUCUGAGUUGCGUAGUGGGCUGAGGUGACAAGGGACGUUGGUGCCAGCUGCUGAUCUUUCCCUCCAUCACCCUUUACUCCAGGGCUGUCCAUGGUCACCCUCCAAGGCAGAUUAAGAUUGUGGAUGGUCAUGAGCAGGUUGCUGUCCCAGUUCCUGAAACGUGGGCUCCGUGCUCUGAGGCAGAUCUUCACCAUUAACAGGGGCGUGGAAGGGUAUGGAGAGAGAGAGAGAACACACACUGUCCCGGUACACGGCCUGACGGCCUGGUUGGACAGCCUGAGCUACAAGGAGGCUAGACUAGUGCUGCUGCUCUGCGGAGUGGGUUUGGUCAUCUGCUGGGCAGAAGCUGGCACCAGAGCGUGCUCCCACAAGCUCUGAGCCAGGAGGGCCAUGUCCACGCACUGUGUGGCCCAUGGCUGGCAACCCUGGAGCACCCCACUAAGCCCUGGGUUGGGGGAACAAUUCAGGAACAGAUGUGAAGCCUUUAUAGACAAAGGAACCCCUUGGGCAGUGGUAAAACAGUGUAAGGUGGGGGUUAAAGGUCAGUGAAAUGUAAGAAGAAACCCUUCCCCAUAGAGAGAAACGGGUGGAUUGUUCCUGUUCUUCCUCAAAAUCCUCAAAUUUCAUAACACCCACGUGACAUUGCUCGCCCAGUCCCUCCCUCCCCAUCCGAACUGCACAGUGCCUGCUUAGAAUAAGUCAGAAAGGGGUGGCGUCUCAGCUCUAGUGAAAGGUCCCUCAUGUGUGGGAAACAUCACAUCCUGGCCAGGAGAGGCAAAGUCACCACAAAUGGCCACAGGGUACCCCGAGGCUAGGUCAGGGGGAACAGAGCGGCCACCUAUAUCCUCACCUCCGGUCUCCCAGAAUACCUCUGCUUAGAAGCAAUAUUAAAAAGGAUAAGUCAAGCUGUUCCAAAGAUUGCCACUGCAGACACCACUUCCCUUCAGAGCAGGCCCUCUGACAGGGACUUUGGCUUGCUGGGCCGGGUGGGCGGGGCAGAGAACAGAGGCCUUCUGCCUGCUGCUUCAGUCCUGCUCCCCAUUUAAUGCCCCCUUUCAUCUUGGGAGUUCUCAUGAACUCAGGGUGGGUCUUGCACCCACCUGCUUGUUGGGCUCUAGAUUGUUUUGUUUUGGGUUUUGUUUGUUUGGGUCUGUCCUGCAAGGUGAGCUACUAGGCCAGUGCUCUACCACUGGCUGUACUCCCAGCCAUUUUGAUUUUUUAAACUUGAGAUGGGACUCACAAAGCUGCCCAGGCUGGCCUUGAACUCCCAGUCCUCUUGCCUCAGCUUCCUGAAUUUCUGGGGUGAUGGCCUACAUGCUACCAUGGCCCAGCGCUGUUUGCGUUUUGUCUUUUUUUGUUUGUUUGUUUCUGUACCAAAAGCUGCUACACUGGUGACACAGCAGGGUGUGGCCUAGGUGCCCCCACAGACUGGCAUAUGGCACGUCUCUCUCUCUCUCUGCCCUCCCUAACCCCUAACGUCACAGCUGCUUGGCAAGGGAACAUUUUUGAACCAACCACAGAUGUUUCCUUAGGAAAAGUAGGUUUUCUACUCGUGGUGAAGAACAAAAGCCCCCUGAGUGGUCCUGGCUGCUCCUCUGCAUUGCCUCACUGCUCCAAGGUUCCCUCUAUCAGGCCUCAGCUCUACUGCAGGGAACAUUCUAGAACCUGCCCCCCACACACACACUCCCCCCCAUGGGCACGGGGCAUAACAGCCUGGGCAGGCCUGUCCCACAGAUGAGGCCAGCCGCAUGCCUUCUCCAGAGGUACCAUCUGGGCACGAGGCAGGACAGAGGAUGCUCGAAGGGAGGAAGCGGCCAGCUAGAGGGAGAGCAGUUUGGUAAGAGCUAAGGGGAGGUAAGCCGGUGGGACUGGAGGCUGAGGGCUGCCCUCACAGCUGGUGCCGAGCCAGCAGUGGUAAAGAUCCCUCAGUGAGGAGUCUGUCUGUCUGUCUGUCUCUGUGUGUGUGUGUGUGUCUCUCUCUCUCAAAAUACUUAGAGUGCUUCAGUCACAAUGAAAAGCAUGUGUUUCUGUACUUGGGCUAAGCUGUCAAACACAGGCUGCCUAGGGCCCCCAGGACCUCUUCCCCUAAGUCCUUGUCUGUGUGUGCACGCACACACACACACACACACACACACACACACACACACACACACACACGCACACCUGCCUUGUGAGAGUUAGAGGACUAGAAGGGCCUGCUGCUUUACCUCUGGAAUCCUGUUCCUGUGACUACUCACAGGUGACCAGUGUGGAGGAAUCUGGGGCCCAGGCACCCCAAAAGCCUGAGUGCAGACAGUGGCCAGGUGUGGUCCACAACCCCAUAUGUGAAGCACUUACCACCAUUAGAGCAACCUCAGCACUGUCCCCUGUGUCCCUGGGACUGGCUGACUCUGAGCUCCGUGACCCACUGAAUGUUCAUGUUCUCUGUCCUGUAUGUAUCCAAAUGGCACCUUGGCUUCUGAGUCUGAAUUUGCUGGCUUAGAACUUUUGUUUUUAAUUGGUAAAACUGGGAAUUCAAAAAUCUAAUAUUUUCAAUUUGGUCCCUCUCUCCCAUAGUCUCCUCUUAACGUCCUUCCUGGGUGGGAGGGGCAUUUGGGAUCCCUGAUAAUACCUUAGCUUGAUUCUUAGGCUGGGAAAAGGUGGUGGGGGUGGGGAGGGGUGACCCUAGCUGUUUUCCAGGUCUCUCCUUGGAUUCUGCUGUGUUCUUGGGGGGGGCGGGCAGCAGCUGUGCACGUGUGAGGGAGGGGCUAAAGCCAAUAGUGAGGCGGUUCUUUUUCUUAACUGAAUGAUAAUUCUGUAAAAGUAAUUGGGGGAGGGUCUUCAGGGAGUAUGUGUGUGUGUGCGUGCGUGAGAGCAUGUGUGAUUUUGUUUUGUUUCAUUUUUUACAGUGGCUGUCAAGUAUUUUCAUGAUAUGUUUAACACUUAGUGCUUUAAAAGCAGUGGUACCCAAUACGAUGGGAAUCCGAGUUCCAGAGAUGGGACGUGCCCCACCUCAGUGAGCGAAGGUCCCACUCUGGAGGCAGGGGUAAGAAAGGCCUGCGGACCCACACACCAAGCAGCAACACCUGGGCGUUCAUUUCAAACGGGAUACAGUAUUUUUUUAUAACAGAACCAUCCUUUUUUUAAACAAAAAGUUUUGACACCUGAAUGUGAUUUCUAACUAUUAUUAGACGUUAAUGUUUUAAAGCUAUAACAAAGUGGAAAUUUCUACUUUCUUUUUCAUUCAUUUGAACUGUUCUUUUAUCUAUUCGGUUGUUGUAUGUGGGUGGGGAAGCUCUGUUUUCUCCUCUUAGCAUUUGUUUCUAUAACCAGAAAUAAAAAUUAUAUAUUAAAGAGAUG
rnacentral:lncRNA from 1 species